GAUGAACGCUGGCGGCGUGCUUAACACAUGCAAGUCGAACGAUGAAACCCAGCUUGCUGGGUGGAUUAGUGGCGAACGGGUGAGUAACACGUGAGUAACCUGCCCUUAACUCUGGGAUAAGCCUGGGAAACUGGGUCUAAUACCGGAUAGGAGCGCCUACCGCAUGGUGGGUGUUGGAAAGAUUUAUCGGUUUUGGAUGGACUCGCGGCCUAUCAGCUUGUUGGUGAGGUAAUGGCUCACCAAGGCGACGACGGGUAGCCGGCCUGAGAGGGUGACCGGCCACACUGGGACUGAGACACGGCCCAGACUCCUACGGGAGGCAGCAGUGGGGAAUAUUGCACAAUGGGCGAAAGCCUGAUGCAGCGACGCCGCGUGAGGGAUGACGGCCUUCGGGUUGUAAACCUCUUUCAGUAGGGAAGAAGCGAAAGUGACGGUACCUGCAGAAGAAGCACCGGCUAACUACGUG
rnacentral:rRNA from 1 species